rnacentral:rRNA from 1 species
AUUGAACGCUGGCGGCAGGCCUAACACAUGCAAGUCGAGCGGAUGAAGGGAGCUUGCUCCUGGAUUCAGCGGCGGACGGGUGAGUAAUGCCUAGGAAUCUGCCUGGUAGUGGGGGAUAACGUCCGGAAACGGGCGCUAAUACCGCAUACGUCCUGAGGGAGAAAGUGGGGGAUCUUCGGACCUCACGCUAUCAGAUGAGCCUAGGUCGGAUUAGCUAGUUGGUGGGGUAAAGGCCUACCAAGGCGACGAUCCGUAACUGGUCUGAGAGGAUGAUCAGUCACACUGGAACUGAGACACGGUCCAGACUCCUACGGGAGGCAGCAGUGGGGAAUAUUGGACAAUGGGCGAAAGCCUGAUCCAGCCAUGCCGCGUGUGUGAAGAAGGUCUUCGGAUGGUAAAGCACGUUAAGUUGGGAGGAAGGGCAGUAAGUUAAUACCUUGCUGUUUUGACGUUACCAACAGAAUAAGCACCGGCUAACUUCGUG